GGGAAAUGCGGUGUGGUGGUGGUGGGAACUGAAGCAGACGAGGGGCUCUGAAGGGGUAAAUAGGAGCCUCACUAUCCAGACGGAAUAAGAGAUGGAAAUUUCCUUUUCAGACAAUGAUUCUGAAAAGGGAGAGACUUGGAGGAGCAAACACGCAGAGAAGCGUGCAGCAGAGAGGGGAGAGGGGCGCAGGAAAGAACUAGAAGAUGUCAAGAAUGGCCUGCUCACCUCAGCAUCUGGCUCAAUGAGUCGAAAAGGCAGUU